rnacentral:tRNA from 6 species
GGCCCCGUAGCUCAGCCAGGAUAGAGCGGCGGCCUCCUAAGCCGUAGGUCGUGGGUUCGAAUCCCACCGGGGCCGCCA